rnacentral:rRNA from 1 species
AGCGAACGCUGGCGGCAGGCCUAAUACAUGCAAGUCGAGCGGGUCCUUCGGAUUAGCGGCGGACGGGUGAGUAACGCGUGGGAACGUGCCCUUUGGUACGGAACAACUGAGGGAAACUUCAGCUAAUACCGUAUGUGCCCUUUGGGGAAAGAUUUAUCGCCAUUGGAGCGGCCCGCGUUGGAUUAGGUAGUUGGUGAGGUAAAGGCUCACCAAGCCUACGAUCCAUAGCUGGUCUGAGAGGAUGACCAGCCACACUGGGACUGAGACACGGCCCAGACUCCUACGGGAGGCAGCAGUAGGGAAUCUUGCGCAAUGGGCGAAAGCCUGACGCAGCCAUGCCGCGUGAAUGAUGAAGGUCUUAGGAUUGUAAAAUUCCUUCACCGGGGACGAUAAUGACGGUA